UCUCAUAAACCGUGGCUCAGUUCAGAUCGUAGGCUGCAACUCGCCUACGUGAAGGAGGAAUCGCUAGUAAUCGCAGGUCAGCAUACUGCGGUGAAUACGUUCCCGGGCCUUGUACACACCGCCCGUCACACCAUGGAAGUUGGCCACGCCCGAAGCCGUUACUCCAACCCUUGUGGAGGAGGACGUCGAAGGUGGGGCUGAUGACUGGGGUGAAGUCGUAACAAGGUAGCCGUACCGGAAGGUGCGGCUGGAUCACCUCCUAACAGGGAGACAACACAAUGAUUUUGAUGCCUGAGUACUUUUAUUCUUAGGCCGAAAUCCUGUCACCUUAGGUCGAUCGGUACCUCAGCAUUAAGAGCAGUGAUUGAUGAGCAAUCAUCAAGAGACUGAAGGAGAUGUUCAGUUCCUAAACUUUGUCUAGGUCACACCCCACAAGGGUUGAGUCUUCCUGGGCCAUUAGCUCAGGUGGUUAGAGCGCACCCCUGAUAAGGGUGAGGUCCCUGGUUCAAGUCCAGGAUGGCCCAUUCGGUGUUGGGGGUUUAGCUCAGUUGGUAGAGCGCCUGCUUUGCAAGCAGGAUGUCAGGAGUUCGAGUCUCCUAACCUCCACUGACCGAACUUAAUCUCCAUCUUCUGAACAAUGGAAGGUGAACUCGAAGGUGUGUGUGAUUUAGAUGUGUCCGCUGACAUGAACUCAGCUUCCUGUCAUUCUAAGUGAAGAGUAUUGCUCUGAAUUUAGUUGAUAAGAUGCUG
rnacentral:misc_RNA from 1 species